UGGGGAAUCUUGCGCAAUGGGCGAAAGCCUGACGCAGCAACGCCGCGUGCGGGAAGAAGGCCUUCGGGUUGUAAACCGCUUUCAGCCGGGAAGAAGGCGGACGGGUGAAUAGCCCGUUCCGCUGACGGUACCGUGCAGAAGAAGCCCCGGCUAACUACGUGCCAGCAGCCGCGGUAAUACGUAGGGGGCAAGCGUUGUCCGGAAUCAUUGGGCGUAAAGAGCGUGUAGGCGGCCAUUCAAGUCCUGCGUGAAAUCUCGCGGCUCAACCGUGAGCGGUCGUGGGAAACUGGGUGGCUAGAGUGCGGGAGAGGAGAGUGGAAUUCCCGGUGUAGCGGUGAAAUGCGCAGAUAUCGGGAAGAACACCCGUGGCGAAGGCGGCUCUCUGGAACGCAACUGACGCUGAGACGCGAAAGCGUGGGGAGCAAACAG
rnacentral:rRNA from 1 species